rnacentral:rRNA from 1 species
AGGCCUAACACAUGCAAGUCGAACGGUAACAGGGAGCUUGCUCCGCUGACGAGUGGCGAACGGGUGAGUAAUGUAUCGGAACGUACCAUUCAGUGGGGGAUAACGUAGCGAAAGUUACGCUAAUACCGCAUAUUCUGUGCGCAGGAAAGCAGGGGAUCGCAAGACCUUGCGCUGAUUGAGCGGCCGAUAUCAGAUUAGCUAGUUGGUGAGGUAAAAGCUCACCAAGGCGACGAUCUGUAGCGGGUCUGAGAGGAUGAUCCGCCACACUGGAACUGAGACACGGUCCAGACUCCUACGGGAGGCAGCAGUGGGGAAUUUUGGACAAUGGGGGUCACCCUGAUCCAGCCAUGCCGCGUGAGUGAAGAAGGCCUUCGGGUUGUAAAGCUCUUUCAGCCGGGAAGAAAAUGCAUGGGUUAAUACCCUGUGCAGAUGACGGUACCGGAAUAAGAAGCACCGGCUAACUACGUGCCAGCAGCCGCGGUAAUACGUAGGGUGCGAGCGUUAAUCGGAAUUACUGGGCGUAAAGCGUGCGCAGGCGGUUUUGUAAGACAGGCGUGAAAUCCCCGGGCUUAACCUGGGAACUGCGUUUGUGACUGCAAGGCUAGAGUACGGCAGAGGGGGGUGGAAUUCCACGUGUAGCAGUGAAAUGCGUAGAGAUGUGGAGGACACGAAUGGCGAAGGCAGCCCCUGGGUCGAUAGUGACGCUCAUGCACGAAAGCGUGGGUAGCAAACAGGAUUAGAUACCCUGGUAGUCCACGCCCUAAACGAUGUCAACUAGGUGUUGGGAGGGUAAAACCUUUUAGUACCGUACGUNACGCGAGAAGUUGACCGCCUGGGGAGUACGGCCGCAAGGUUAANACUCAAAGGAAUUGACGGGAGCCCGCACAAGCGGUGGAUGAUGUGGAUUAAUUCGAUGCAACGCGAAAAACCCUACCUACCCUUGACAUGUCAGGAACUUUCCAGAGAUGGAUUGGUGCCCGAAAGGGAGCCUGAACACAGGUGCUGCAUGGCUGUCGUCAGCUCGUGUCGUGAGAUGUUGGGUUAAGUCCCGCAACGAGCGCAACCCUUGUCGUUAAUUGCCAUCAUUUAGUUGGGCACUUUAACGAGACUGCCGGUGACAAACCGGAGGAAGGUGGGGAUGACGUCAAGUCCUCAUGGCCCUUAUGGGUAGGGCUUCACACGUCAUACAAUGGUCGGUACAAAGGGUCGCCAACCCGCGAGGGGGAGCCAAUCCCAUAAAGCCGAUCGUAGUCCGGAUUGUAGGCUGCAACUCGCCUGCAUGAAGUCGGAAUCGCUAGUAAUCGUGGAUCAGCAUGUCACGGUGAAUACGUUCCCGGGUCUUGUACACACCGCCCGUC